GUCAAUUAAGAUCCAAUGACUUACAAUCUUGUUGAAGAUGCUUCGGAUGAAGAAGCCCCUAAGAUGUUGGAUGACAUAGUGGUUAUAAACGAUGAUCAACCUCCUAGCCUUACCACCAAAUCACCAAUCUCUACACCUCAACCUACUAGCCCACCUCUUUAAACAAUUAUUCAUAUCCCACAACAUAUAACAACACUUCCACCUAACCUUAGCCUUACUCCUCUUAACCAACGGACCCUUAACCUCAUCCAUUCUCGAUCGUGUUCACUUCAUCAUUGUUGACAACAAUCCUUCACAUGAAGAAUUUUUUUUUUUUGUAAUGUUUAAAGCCAAUAUACAAGAACAAGACACCAAAUUCGCAAUCAUCAUCAAUAUCCUCAACAACCUAGCCUCCAAAGUUUUCCCACCUAAAAUUGCUACCCCGACACCAACCUAACCACCACCC
rnacentral:lncRNA from 1 species